rnacentral:rRNA from 1 species
AUUGAACGCUGGCGGCAUGCCUUACACAUGCAAGUCGAACGGCAGCACGGACUUCGGUCUGGUGGCGAGUGGCGAACGGGUGAGUAAUGUAUCGGAACGUACCUUUCAGUGGGGGAUAACGUAGCGAAAGUUACGCUAAUACCGCAUAUUCUGUGAGCAGGAAAGCAGGGGAUCGCAAGACCUUGCGCUGAUUGAGCGGCCGAUAUCAGAUUAGCUAGUUGGUGGGGUAAAGGCCUACCAAGGCGACGAUCUGUAGCGGGUCUGAGAGGAUGAUCCGCCACACUGGAACUGAGACACGGUCCAGACUCCUACGGGAGGCAGCAGUGGGGAAUUUUGGACAAUGGGGGCAACCCUGAUCCAGCCAUGCCGCGUGAGUGAAGAAGGCCUUCGGGUUGUAAAGCUCUUUCGGCCGGGAAGAAAUCGCACAGGCUAAUACCCUGUGUGGAUGACGGUACCGGAAUAAGAAGCACCGGCUAACUACGUG